rnacentral:rRNA from 1 species
GGGUUGUGAGGUUAAGCGACUAAGCGUACACGGUGGAUGCCCUGGCAGUCAGAGGCGAUGAAGGACGUGCUAAUCUGCGAAAAGCGUCGGUAAGGUGAUAUGAACCGUUAUAGCCGGCGAUGUCCGAAUGGGGAAACCCAGUGCAAUUCGUUGCACUAUCGUUAACUGAAUACAUAGGUUAACGAGGCGAACCGGGGGAACUGAAACAUCUAAGUACCCCGAGGAAAAGAAAUCAACCGAGAUUCCCCCAGUAGCGGCGAGCGAACGGGGAGCAGCCCAGAGUCUGAAUCAGCUUGUGUGUUAGUGGAAGCGUCUGGAAAGGCGCGCGAUACAGGGUGACAGCCCCGUACACAAAAAUGCACAUGCUGUGAGCUCGAUGAGUAGGGCGGGACACGUGGUAUCCUGUCUGAAUAUGGGGGGACCAUCCUCCAAGGCUAAAUACUCCUGACUGACCGAUAGUGAACCAGUACCGUGAGGGAAAGGCGAAAAGAACCCCGGCGAGGGGAGUGAAAAAGAACCUGAAACCGUGUACGUACAAGCAGUGGGAGCACCUUCGGGUGUGACUGCGUACCUUUUGUAUAAUGGGUCAGCGACUUAUAUUCUGUAGCAAGGUUAACCGUAUAGGGGAGCCGCAGGGAAACCGAGUCUUAACUGGGCGUUAAGUUGCAGGGUAUAGACCCGAAACCCGGUGAUCUAGCCAUGGGCAGGUUGAAGGUUGGGUAACACUAACUGGAGGACCGAACCGACUAAUGUUGAAAAAUUAGCGGAUGACUUGUGGCUGGGGGUGAAAGGCCAAUCAAACCGGGAGAUAGCUGGUUCUCCCCGAAAGCUAUUUAGGUAGCGCCUCGUGAA